rnacentral:rRNA from 1 species
AGAGUUUGAUCCUGGCUCAGGAUGAACGCUAGCGGCAGGCCUAAUACAUGCAAGUCGGACGGGAUUCAGGGAGUAGCUUGCUACAAACUGAUGAGAGUGGCGCACGGGUGCGUAACGCGUGAGCAACCUACCCAUAUCAGGGGGAUAGCCUCUCGAAAGAGAGAUUAACACCGCAUAACAUCAUUAACCGGCAUCGGUUUUUGAUCAAAUAUUUAUAGGAUAUGGAUGGGCUCGCGUGACAUUAGCUAGUUGGAGAGGUAACGGCUCACCAAGGCUACGAUGUCUAGGGGCUCUGAGAGGAGAAUCCCCCACACUGGUACUGAGACACGGACCAGACUCCUACGGGAGGCAGCAGUAAGGAAUAUUGGUCAAUGGAGGCAACUCUGAACCAGCCAUGCCGCGUGCAGGAUGACUGCCCUAUGGGUUGUAAACUGCUUUUGUCAGGGAAUAAACCUUUCUACGUGUAGGAAGCUGAAUGUACCUGAAGAAUAAGGAUCGGCUAACUCCGUGCCAGCAGCCGCGGUAAU